rnacentral:rRNA from 1 species
AGUGAACGCUGGCGGUAUGCCUAACACAUGCAAGUCGAGCGGCAGCACAGUAAGCUUUCGCUCUUACGGGUGGCGACUGGCGGACGGGUGACGCAUACAUCAGCAUCUUCUUUUUCGUGGGUGACUACGUGGGGCAGCUUACACUACUACCUCAUAUGACCUACCGGUGGAAGCAGUGGUUCUUCGCGGCUUUGCCGAUUCAUUUAGCUGAUUCCGUGUCGCAUUAGCUAGUUGGUAAGGUAACGGCUCACCAAGGCGACGAUGCGUAGCUGAUCUGAGAGGAUGAUCAGCCACACUGGAACUGAGACACGGUCCAGACUCCUACGGGAGGCAGCAGUGGGGAAUAUUGGGCAAUGGGCGCAAGCCUGAUGCAGCCAUGCCGCGUGGGUGAAGAAGGCCUUCGGGUUGUAAAGCCCUUUUGUUGGGAAAGAAAAGCAGCAGGUUAAUACCCCGAUGUUCUGACGGUACCCAAAGAAUAAGCAACGGCUAACUUCGUG